ACGUAGGUGGCGAGCGUUGUCCGGAAUUAUUGGGCGUAAAGCGCGCGCAGGUGGGAUCUUAAGUCUGUUUUCAAAGUGCGGAGCUUAACUCCGUGAUGGGAUAGAAACUGGGAUUCUUGAGUACCGGAGAGGAAAGCGGAAUUCCCCGUGGGGGGGUGAGUGGAGGGGGUAUGGGGCGGAGGGGCGGUGGCGAGGGGGGCGAACGGGAUGGGGUCUCAUAUUAUGCCGCAUAAGUCAGGGUUGCACACGG
rnacentral:rRNA from 1 species